GAGCACCCCAGUCCAGCCCCACAAAGCAGUCGCCCUGGAUCAACUGACCUGCAAAGAGAGACGAGGCUCCUGGGAACCGGCAGAGGCAAUGUUGGCAUCAGAGCAGUGACGUCACUGCCUAACCUCCAACCAGAGAACGGACGCCCAGAACGUCAGCUCUCAGAGAACCAGAGCGCUGAGCAAGGAGACGCAUGCCCAGUUCUGCCCCUCCCUGCCAUGCGCUCCAUCCUCUUCUGCUAUGUGGCCCUUUGUCUCCUGGGAGCAGGCCGAGCGGAUUCUGGAGUCACCCAAACACCGAGACAUCUGAUUCAAGCAAGAGGACAGCAAGUGACACUGAGAUGUUCCCCUGUCUCUGGGCACCUCAGUGUGUAUUGGUACCAACAGGCCCUGAAUCAGGGCCCCCAGUUCCUCUUUGAGUUUUAUGACCAAAAGCAAAGCGCCAAAGGAAACUUCUCGGAUCGAUUCUCAGCCCAACACUUCAGUAACUCUCUCAAUGAGCUGACCGUGAAGUUCUUGGAGCUGAGGGACUCCGCCCUGUACCUCUGUGCCAGCAGCCUGGCACAGCCCUGCUGGGUCACCAGCCUUCUGUGCACAAACCUCCCUGCCCCAGUGAGGAGCAACUUCAGAGCUGACAGAUCCGUGAGAGCCCAGAAACUUCAGUGGGAAAGACCGCCGGGCCCUAGGGCUCCAAUGCCAUUCAGGCAGGGAUAACAGAGGACAAGGACAUCUGUUCAGGGGAACAGGAAGUAUUAAGUGAGGCCUUAUAACAACUGGCAUCACCUGGAGGCCAGUCCCAGGUACGAUCACUGCACAAAUGCUGUGAUGAUGGUGUGAGAAGCCUGGAGUUGAUUUCUGACUUUGCUUCCUGACGUCUUACCUCGGUCCUGCCCCACAGGCACAGGCAAGUACCUCCCACACACAGGGGAGGGCAGGCCUCCCCUGAUUACAAACAGGCAAUUCUGUUUCCUUCUCGCUUGGUAACACCUCACCCUCCAGAUUCCGGUACCUUCAGGGCAUCACCUCUUGGCCACCUUAGGAUGCAUCUUACUCUUUGAGCAAACAUCUCGCGAAAUUUCUUAAAACACGGAUGCCUUUUAAAUUCUCUGCGUCUGGAGU